AAGCAACGACCUCCCCCAGGUUGUUUCUUGACUGAAGUAAUUGCUGUGACUCCUCAGGUCCCAGACAACCAACAGAUAAUUAGUUCCAAUUAAGUUCUCUCACAGGUGCUUACGAAAUUGCCAUUUGGAAGCAGCAGGUUCUCCUGGAAGGUGAACUGAAUAGUGGGGAAGGGAGCACCCAAGAUCAGAGCCAAAGGAGGAUCAUCCUGCUGUGGUGCUGCUUUUGGCUUUAGCAGGGGUGUCCUCUUGUUCCUUGGAGUCUUCCUCAACUGCAUAGGGAUGGGAGGGCCACAGGACUGGGAUGGCUGGGCCAGGGUGGCUCUGGGGCAGUUUUAGGAAGAUAAAAUCCUCAAGGUUCCAGGCUGAGCUGACUCAACAGAAACAAAUACAAAGGCCCCUGAGCCCCAGCGAGGCUGUGCAGGUGGGAGGACAGGGAUGUGUUGGGAUGUGGGGCACAGGAUCCCUCCCCAAGGAUGUGCAGCUGCAUUCGGGACACAAACCCACCCUUGGAAAGCUGGACAGCAAAGGUUCUUCUCAGUUAAAAACACAACUCAUAAAACAAGACAACUACCAGAUUUCCUCCUUCAGAAGUGUGGGAGCCUCAUGCCCAGUGAGUGACUGCAUUUCCCUGGACACAAAUGAAAAAUCACCUUGUGCUCAGGUAAAGAAAGUGUCAGCAUUGCCUAGAGAAGAUGCUGAGAGGAAAAAUGAGCUGGAAGGCACAUCUGCAGCUCCAGAUCACAUUUUCACUUGCUUGAGCGUGUCAGAGUAUCCGACACUGCAACGUUGGACUCUCCUUGGGCACAGAAAUCCUGACUGACAGUUCGGAAUGGAAGCAGGGAAAUACUGAACUCAUG
rnacentral:lncRNA from 1 species